rnacentral:rRNA from 1 species
UACGUAGGGGGCGAGCGUUAUCCGGAUUCAUUGGGCGUAAAGCGCGCGCAGGCGGCGCGCCAAGCGGAGCUUCUAAUCUCCAGGCUCAACCUGGAGCCGGGCUCCGAACUGGCGCGCUCGAGUUAGGUAGGGGAGGUCGGAAUUCCCGGUGUAGCGGUGGAAUGCGCAGAUAUCGGGAAGAACACCGAUGGCGAAGGCAGACCUCUGGGCCUCAACUGACGCUGAGGCGCGAAAGCUGGGGGAGCGAACAG